CAGCCGCCACGGUAAUACGAAGGGGGCUAGCGUUGCUCGGAAUUACUGGGCGUAAAGGGAGCGUAGGCGGAUCGUUUAGUCAGGGGUGAAGUCCCGGGGCUCAACCUCGGAACUGCCUUUGAUACUGGCGAUCUUGAGUAUGGGAGAGGUGUGUGGAACUCCGAGUGUAGAGGUGAAAUUCGUAGAUAUUCGGAAGAACACCAGUGGCGAAGGCGGCUUACUGGCUCGAAACUGACGCUGAGGCGCGAAAGCGUGGGGAGCAAACAGGAUUAGAUACCCCUGUAGUCCCUGUCUCUUAUAC
rnacentral:rRNA from 1 species